AAGAAAUGUAAAAAUGCACUUUUUGUCUGGAAAUAAAAUAAACAUUUAUCUGCGUUAACCACUCCAGUCAACAGAUGGCGAUAUGCGUUUUUCAGGCGAUGCUAUCAGAGUGACGUAUAAUGUAGUGGACGGGACGCUUCUUCAACAACAUCUCGUCAGCCACCUCAGUAGCUUCCUAGCGGAAACGUUCAAGCUGUUCAGACUGCUUCGGUCUAUAUUUACUUCUGUAUUUGGAACAUAAUUCUGUCUUUUAACUAGUUUCCCCAUUUCAUGUCAUAUUUCCGUUUAGUCAGGUAACGGUAGCUGGCUUGAUAAAUGAGCCUAUCACUAGGCUAGUCGCUAACUAGCUAGGUUAGCUGGCUAACAUCCCCGACCAUGAGCUCAGCAAGCUGCUGCCCUCCUGCUAAAAAAGAGGUCUGCUGGAAGGAGAAAGAAGGUAUUUGGCUGAACGUUGUCGUGAAAGAGGAGAAUGAAGAGGAGGAUGUCACAGUAAACGAAGAAGUAGAGGGUGAGGCUGUUACACAGAAAGAAGAGGAAGAAAACGAUUAUACUUUUUUCGGAGUGAAUGAAGGAGAGAUAACUGUCAUAUUGAAGGAGGAGGAGAGGGGAGAAGAGGAGGAGACAGAAGAUCUGAGUAACACCAGAGAGAGACCAGACUCUCCUUCUGACAGCAGGAAGAGUCCUUCAGGGAAACCAGACCCGAGACGUCCAAACCAGCAGGACGACAUCACUGCUCCCAGUGUGGAAAGAGUUUUACUCAGUUAGGGAGCCUGAGAACACAUAAGAGAAUACACACUGGAGAGAAGCCUUACCACUGUUCCCAAUGUGGAAUGACGUUUACCCAGUUAGGGAGCCUGCAAACGCAUGAGAGGGGACACACAGGGGAAAAGCUUUUCCAAUGUUCCCAUUGUGGAAAGAGUUUUGGCCAGGUAGGAAACCUGAACAAGCAUGAGAGGACACACACAGGUAAGAAGAUGUACCGCUGCUCCCAGUGUGGAGAGAGAUUUACCCGGUUAAGGUACCUGAAAGAGCAUGAAGGAAUACAUACAAAUACACAGGAGGAGAAGACAUACCACUGCUCUCAUUGUGGAAAGACAUUUUCCCAGUCAGAGAACCUGAAAACACAUGAGAGAAUCGAGAGGCUGUGUUCUGACUUGUGUUUCUGACUGAGAAUGUGUGUGUUUGUUUGGGCUGUCAGACUUGAGUUCACUUUGUGUAAUGUUAGUGCACUAUUUUUAAUUGUGAUUAAUCCAUUGUCUGAAAGUGUUGAAAACACACUGAAAACAUCCAGAAUACAUCCUAUAUACAGCUAGAAUCUACAAUGCCAUGUAAACACAAGAUGACAUUGAGGUUAAAUAAAGUGUGAUUUAUCAAUGGAACAUA